AAUGUUUUUUACGUCCAGAAGCUAGUUGAUAACUUUGAUGCAUGGGUAGUUGGUGGCAAUUUUUAUUUUCUAAAGCAAGGACAUUCUGUCAGGACCCCUGGUUUAACCUUGCUACUUCUCACCACAACAGACACUGCAGAGUCAAGGGCGUUGCUUGGUGAGCAGAUGCAUCCCUGUUGUUCGAAUCCACCCAUUUUUCCCAGUCCCCGAGCUGUUUCUAGCAUAGCAGUUGAAGAAAGGCUCGCCUUUAUGUUGGUUGCUCAAGAUGUCAGUCAAAUAAUACUUAGAAGUGACCAGUCAACACUGUUGCUAUUACCUCUUUACUUCAAAAUUACAUUAGUGUGUGAGCACAUGCAUACUUGGGCAUGUGCAAAGGUUAGAAGACAACUCACUGGUGGGACGCUGUUUUUGGGUCCUAGGAAUCAAACUCAAGUCCUCAGGUUUGGUGGCAAGCAUCUUCAGUCUCAGAGCCAUCUUACCAACCUACCUUUGGUUUUUGAGACGGUCUUUCUCUAUAGCUUAGCCUGGUCUGAAGCUCACUAGGUUGACCUUUAACUCUCUGUCCUGCCUCAACCUCCCAAGUUUAGCAUUUUGGCAUGUACCACCGUGUCUGGUAGUGGCUGUGUAUUUGUGCAACCUCUUCACAAAGUAAUCAGGUAUAUGUAAACACAUUUAUGAUCACUUUGUGGAUAUACUUUUACAUAUAUUUUGGCCUCUUUCCCUGUUAAUUAAUGUUAUGUAUUAUAAACAUUCUUGAGUGGUUUUGGGCAGUCCUUAGAGCUGCAUUUUUAUCAGCAGCAUGAUUUAAAACAAAAUCCUAGCAUGUUCUGGGAUUUAAGAACCACAUAUCUAGGUUACUAUAGCAUACUCUCAUUAUAUAUUAACACAUAAACAGGUAGAAUGUAAUGAUAACAAUUUUACAUUUAAGUCCCAUAAAUGUGAUUCUGAAUGUGUUAGUUACUUGUCUUACCCUUGGACCUGCUGAUUGUGGGCUUGUGGUGGAGGCAGAUCAUCAUGGCAGCAGAAGCAUGUGGAAGAGAAGGCUGUUUACUUCAUGGAGGACAGGAAGCCGAGAGAGCCUAGGCCCUGUUUGACAAACUCCUUGCUAUCUGCUGAAGGGAAUGGAAGCUUAUCAGCGUGACUCCUAGCUUGUCUCUUUGGCACCUCAGCAAAGUGCCAUUAGAAGUUCAGAAUCAGCUGAGGAGAAAAGUGAAACCAGCUACCCGGCUGCCAGAGGAAAGGAAGGAGGAACCUUAUCUCUGCAGUGGAUGGAUACCAUUACAGAAAAGCACAACCAAUCGAAAUGCAGAGUUGUGGAGCCCAGUUCCAGUGGUUAGAUCUACAAAACAACCCACAUGCCUAAGGCUCAGAGAACACUGCAGAGGAGGGACAGAAGGCUCAUACUAGCAGAGCCUCAGGUUCCAAGGUCUGAAGUCCCCAGCCCUUUUUAUCCGUUUGGAACACCUGGAGACAGAACUGCAGACCAUUCUGGACCACCCUGUUUCUACAGUGUUCACCGCAAUGGCAGAGGACAUUGCAU